rnacentral:rRNA from 1 species
AUUGAACGCUGGCGGCAGGCCUAACACAUGCAAGUCGAACGAGUGGCGGACGGGUGAGUAAUGUCUGGGAAACUGCCCGAUGGAUGAGGAUAACUACUGGGAACGGUAACUACUACCGCAUUCCAUCGGAUGUGCCCAGAUGGGAUUAGCGAGUAGGUCGGGUCACGGCUUACCUAGGCGACGAUCCCUUGCUGGUCUGAGAGGAUGACCAGCCACACUGGAACGGAGACACGGUCCAGACUCCUACGGGAGGCAGCAGUGGGGAAUAUUGGACAAUGGGCGAAAGCCUGAUGCAGCCAUGCCGCGUGUAUGAAGAAGGCCGUCGGGUUGUAAAGGACUUUAAGCGAGGAGGCGUUACUAGCAGAAGAAGCACCGGCUAACUCCGUGCCAGCAGCCGCGGUAAUAC